CGCAGCCACGGUAAUACCGAGGGUGCGAGCGUUAAUCGGAUUUACUGGGCGUAAAGCGUGCGUAGGCGGCUUCUUAAGUCGGAUGUGAAAUCCCUGAGCUUAACUUAGGAAUUGCAUUCGAUACUGGGAAGCUAGAGUAUGGGAGAGGAUGGUAGAAUUCCAGGUGUAGCGGUGAAAUGCGUAGAGAUCUGGAGGAAUACCGAUGGCGAAGGCAGCCAUCUGGCCUAAUACUGACGCUGAGGUACGAAAGCAUGGGGAGCAAACAGGAUUAGAUACCCCAGUAGUCCCUGUCUCUUAUACA
rnacentral:rRNA from 1 species